rnacentral:rRNA from 1 species
AUUGAACGCUGGCGGCAGGCCUAACACAUGCAAGUCGAACGGUAACAUGAACUAGCUUGCUAGUUUGAUGACGAGUGGCGGACGGGUGAGUAAUGCUUGGGAAUUUGCCUUGAGGUGGGGGACAACAGUUGGAAACGACUGCUAAUACCGCAUAUUGUCUACGGACUAAAGGGGGCUUCGGCUCUCGCCUUUAGAGAAGCCCAAGUGGGAUUAGGUAGUUGGUGAGGUAAAGGCUCACCAAGCCGACGAUCCCUAGCUGGUCUGAGAGGAUGAUCAGCCACACUGGAACUGAGACACGGUCCAGACUCCUACGGGAGGCAGCAGUGGGGAAUAUUGCACAAUGGGCGCAAGCCUGAUGCAGCCAUGCCGCGUGUGUGAAGAAGGCCUUCGGGUUGUAAAGCACUUUCAGUCGUGAGGAAGGGUUANUAGUUAAUACCUGCUAGCUUUGACGUUAGCGACAGAAGAAGCACCGGCUAACUCCGUGCCANCANCCGCGGUAAUACGGAGGGUGCGAGCGUUAAUCGGAAUUACUGGGCGUAAAGCGUACNCAGNGCGGUUAGUUAAGUCAGANGUGAAAGCCCCGGGCUCAANCCUGGGAACUGCAUUUGAAACUGGCUAACUAGAGUGCGGCAGAGGGUGGUAGAAUUUCANGNGNAGCGNUGAANUGCGUAGAGAUCUGAAGGAAUACCGAUGGCGAAGGCAGCCMCUGGGNCCGACACUGACGCUCAUGUACGAAAGCGUGGGGUAGCAAACAGGANUAGAUACCCUNGGUNGUNCACGCNGUAAACGAUNUNUNCUAGCAGCUCGCCUCGUUAGAGGGNUUUUGCGCAGCUAACGCGUUAAGUAGACCGCNUGGGGAGUACGGCCGCAAGNUUNAAAACUCAAAUGAAUUGACGGGGGCCCGCACAAGCGGUGGAGCAUGUGGUUUAANUNGAUGCAACGCGAAGAACCUUACCAUCCCUUGACAUCCAGAGAACUUACUAGAGAUAGUUUGGUGCCUUCGGGAACUCUGAGACAGGUGCUGCAUGGCUGUCGUCAGCUCGUGUUGUGAAAUGUUGGGUUAAGUCCCGCAACGAGCGCAACCCUUAUCCUUAGUUGCUAGCAGUUAGGCUGAGAACUCUAAGGAGACUGCCGGUGACAAACCGGAGGAAGGUGGGGACGACGUCAAGUCAUCAUGGCCCUUACGGGAUGGGCUACACACGUGCUACAAUGGCAAGUACAAAGGGUUGCGAACUCGCGAGAGUAAGCGGAUCCCAUAAAGCUUGUCGUAGUCCGGAUUGGAGUCUGCAACUCGACUCCAUGAAGUCGGAAUCGCUAGUAAUCGUAGAUCAGAAUGCUACGGUGAAUACGUUCCCGGGCCUUGUACACACCGCCCGUCACACCAUGGGAGUGGGCUGCAAAAGAAGUGGGUAGUUUAACCUUCGGGAGGACGCUCACCACUUUGUGGUUCAUGACUGGGGUG